rnacentral:lncRNA from 1 species
GCGUGGCGUUGAUGUGGCGCCUGCGUGGUGGGAAUAGGGCCUAAUUUGUAAAUAUAAAUUUAAUGGGGUUAUUUGUACAAAUUUUUUUUUGAGAGGGCCAAAUGUAAAAAAAGCCCUUAUAUAUUUUAUAUAGAGAGAGAGAGAGAUGUUAAGGACUUUUCUAAGUUGGCGGAUUUCGUGAAGUUGAAUGGAGUCUUGAAGAGUUGAAGAUGAAGAUUGAAGCGAAGAUUGUGUGAUUCAAGAACUAAAGACUCGUUCGUGAUGCUCUGAAUCUCAGGUAUGUAUGUUAAUAAUAUGUGGUGAGAUUCUAUACAAUUGAUAAGUGUUUGGAAGACUUAUAAGGUUUUUAACUGUAAAA